GAUGAACGCUGGCGGCGUGCCUAAUACAUGCAAGUCGAGCGAACAGAUAAGGAGCUUGCUCCUUUGACGUUAGCGGCGGACGGGUGAGUAACACGUGGGUAACCUACCUAUAAGACUGGGAUAACUUCGGGAAACCGGAGCUAAUACCGGAUAACAUUUGGAACCGCAUGGUUCUAAAGUGAAAGAUGGUUUUGCUAUCACUUAUAGAUGGACCCGCGCCGUAUUAGCUAGUUGGUAAGGUAACGGCUUACCAAGGCGACGAUACGUAGCCGACCUGAGAGGGUGAUCGGCCACACUGGAACUGAGACACGGUCCAGACUCCUACGGGAGGCAGCAGUAGGGAAUCUUCCGCAAUGGGCGAAAGCCUGACGGAGCAACGCCGCGUGAGUGAUGAAGGGUUUCGGCUCGUAAAACUCUGUUAUUAGGGAAGAACAAAUGUGUAAGUAACUGUGCGCGUCUUGACGGUACCUAAUCAGAAAGCCACGGCUAACUACGUG
rnacentral:rRNA from 1 species